rnacentral:tRNA from 1 species
AGGGCAGUGGCGCAACUGGUAGCGCAAUUGAUUCCAAAUCAAUCGGUUCGGGGUUCGAAUCCUCGCUGCCCUGCCA